CGCACAAAUGUGACUUUUGCGCGUUGCAAGAAUUUAUUCUUGCAACGUGCAGCUGAUGGGUGUUUUUGUCCGUUUUCUCCUUGGUUUUUUCCAACUGAAAGCGGUCGCCCGAAGUAGAGAGUGCGAAUCACGAGGCACGCUGUCGCGGUUGUUUCUACUGGAACGAAAUUUUCUCGUUUGUGGAUCGACUUUAGUCUGGGUGCGGUGGGUCUUUCUUCUUUUUUUGGAGAACGCUUGCUGCUGCCCCUUUUUGGGUCUGGACUGCGUAUUUCCCUUCUCCUGGGGGUGUGUGCUGCGGAGUAAAUUUUCAUGUUGAAAAGCAGUAUGUGUUCUAAUGGGAGUUUUGAGAUGCUCGGUUUUGGAUUUGAGAGGGGGAAGAGGUGUUGUUGUUUUAAACAAUAAUCACUAAACCAGGUUGAGGUGGGGAGAAGGAAACGAGACGAGAAAAAGAUUCCGAUUAUUGGAAACAAACGGCAAACUCUUUGAGUGGGCCACCGAGGCUAUGUUUUUUUUGUAUCGUGAUGAGCCUUUGCAAAACCUUUUUUUUUCAUUUGGAUCUCAAAUCAGA
rnacentral:misc_RNA from 1 species